UCCAUCUCCCUCAUUCCCGCAUUAACUCCAAAUCUCCUCAAAUCUCUCCAUCUCCCUCACUCCCACCUCUCUCUGCGACCAUUAGAGCCGACCGUUCCCGCUUCUAUCCGCCUUCUCUCUACGAUGACAGAGGGCUUGAUCUCUCUGCAACCAUACCACCGAGGCAGAGUCCACCUCUCUCUCAUUUCUUCUUCUUCUUUUCUUUUUUUUUUUAUUUUUUCUUUUUUUUUUCACUUCUGGGGCGCAAGAUGUCAAGCCCAUUGAUUCGUCCAAAUGGCUAUUCUUGUUUGAAGAUGAAAAAAAUAUGUCAAUGGAUCAAUGGACGUAUGAAGAUCGAAGAGCUUUUGACACUUACAGAUAAAAAAGACUCUAUCCCUCCCUCCAUCUCAAUCCCAAUUAAAGCCAAAACCAUCUCUCCAUGUCAAUCCCAAUAAGGGUGGCCCUAAAAAUCGAAAGGAAACCAAUCCCCAAUUCAAAUCAGGCAUUGGAUUUUUUGGAUUGUAGAUUUUUUUAGCUUUUCAGUUUUAAAAAAUAUCUAUUUUUUAAAGAAAAUCAAUUGAAUUAUCUAAAAUUGAAAUUAGGUCUAUCUAUUUUAGGAAUACUUGUUCUUUGAUUAGAUCAUUUUUCCAAUUGAGAGAGAGAGAUUUUCAGUUAGUUUCCAUGAAAUGUGCAUAUAUUUCCUUGUUUUUUGAGUAGAUUCAGUAAAUAAGUAGUUUUUCAUAGCAUCUUAAUAUAUUCAGUAAAUGGGUAAAUUCCUUCUAAAAAAAUACUGUUGUGUAGUUCCCUUGAAAUGAUCUAUAUUUUUCUAAUCAAAUGCAUGACCUGUAUUAAGUAUCAAUAGGUCUCUAAAGUGCUCAUAUUAUAGUCGUGAUUUGUUAGUUUUUUGGACCUUUUUGUUUUUAAUUUGAAUCAUGUUGCUGUAAAAUUCCAAGAAUAUCAAAAUAAUUUAUGAACAUAAUGAAGCAUAACUUUUCAAUUUUAGUUUUUCUGAUUUAUAAAAAAAUUUAAUUGGAAAAAAUGCAUUGGCCUGGUCUUUUACAUUUCCAUAAUCUUUAAGUUUAAUGUCUAAUGUUUAAGACAAUAAUAAUUUUUUUUUUAUAAUGUUAAAUAAAAUAAAAUUAAUAUCAUGUUUUUCACUGCAAGAUUUAACCAUGAACUCUAUUAUCAUGUCACUUCAUUCUUUCCAUUCCUCUUUGAUUGAGAUAUAUGAUGAAUUUUUAGAGUUUAUUUUCCAACAUUUUCAUUCCACAGUCCUUUGAAUGAGUUCCCAUUGAAAAUAUGAACUCGUCAUUUUUAAAAUUGUGGCUUUAGCUUCACCAUCUGUUAUUCACACUUUAUUUCAUAUUGUUGUCUAGUUACAACCAAAAUUUCAAAUUCCCAACUAUGUUUUUCAUGUAGAAAUUAAUUUUUAAUUUUUUUAAGGGGUGGCAGAGAACAUCAAGGAGGCUUCUUAUAGAAGCUAUCAAGAUGAUAGCUAAGAAGAGAGGUGGAGCAAAUAAUACUCCAUGUGAACUUGGCUUCAUGGUCAUGAUAUUGCUGUUCUAGUGGUAUUUGUGGAUCAUGAGCUGGUUACGACUUUCUCCAUACAGGUUUUCAUUGAUGUUGAAUUUUCCUAAUGCCUCUCUUUUGUAGAUGAAGAAAAAAAAAUUGGGGAUACGCAUACAAGCACCUCUACUGAUUAGAGAUGAUCACAAGAAGAGCCUACUAAAAUUCAAUGAUGUUGAUCACAGUGUGAACCUACUAUAAUUCAAUGGUGUGGCCAUAGUGUUUGUUAGGAUUUUUAUUUUAUUUUAUUUUAUUUUUUUAAUAUUUUCUUUGGGCAUCAAAAUUAGAUGGCAGCAGCCCAUACAUGUUUCUUUUUACUUCAUGUCUUUGCGACGUUGAUGGUAAUCAUUUGAUUUUCUGACUUAUAUGAUUCAUGUAAUCCAUUGAUUCCAAGAUGGUUGUAUUGUCAAGAGUCACAACGAUUAUAUGAAGGAAUAUUUGUUGAAGGAGAUGAUAUUGUUUGGAAUAAUAUUCGCGGUUGGUUAUUUUUCGGGCUGAAUGGUGUGAAAGGG
rnacentral:lncRNA from 1 species